AAAUAAGAAGCAAUAAUGCAUUUAGUUUCGACCUAAAAGUUAGACUUAAAAAUCCUUAUUUU
rnacentral:tRNA from 1 species